AGUGAACGCUGGCGGUAGGCCUAACACAUGCCAGUCGAACGGCAGCACAGUAAGAGCUUGCUCUUACGGGUGGCGAGUGGCGGACGGGUGAGGAAUACAUCGGAAUCUACUUUUUCGUGGGGGAUAACGUAGGGAAACUUACGCUAAUACCGCAUACGACCUACGGGUGAAAGCAGGGGAUCUUCGGACCUUGCGCGAUUGAAUGAGCCGAUGUCGGAUUAGCUAGUUGGCGGGGUAAAGGCCCACCAAGGCGACGAUCCGUAGCUGGUCUGAGAGGAUGAUCAGCCACACUGGAACUGAGACACGGUCCAGACUCCUACGGGAGGCAGCAGUGGGGAAUAUUGGACAAUGGGGGCAAGCCUGAUCCAGCCAUACGGCGUGGGUGAAGAAGGCCUUCGGGUUGUAAAGCCCUUUUGUUGGGAAAGAAAAGCAGCAGGUUAAUACCCCGCUGUUCUGACGGUACCCAAAGAAUAAGCACCGGCAAACUUCGU
rnacentral:rRNA from 1 species